rnacentral:rRNA from 1 species
GGGUUGUGAGGUUAAGCGACUAAGCGUACACGGUGGAUGCCCUGGCAGUCAGAGGCGAUGAAGGACGUGCUAAUCUGCGAAAAGCGUCGGUAAGGUGAUAUGAACCGUUAUAACCGGCGAUGUCCGAAUGGGGAAACCCAGUGUGAUUCGUCACACUAUCGUUAACUGAAUACAUAGGUUAACGAGGCGAACCGGGGGAACUGAAACAUCUAAGUACCCCGAGGAAAAGAAAUCAACCGAGAUUCCCCCAGUAGCGGCGAGCGAACGGGGAGCAGCCCAGAGUCUGAAUCAGCUUGUGUGUUAGUGGAACGGUCUGGAAAGUCCGACGGUACAGGGUGAUAGUCCCGUACACCAAAAUGCACAGGCUGUGAACUCGAAGAGUAGGGCGGGACACGUGGUAUCCUGUCUGAAUAUGGGGGGACCAUCCUCCAAGGCUAAAUACUCCUGACUGACCGAUAGUGAACCAGUACCGUGAGGGAAAGGCGAAAAGAACCCCGGCGAGGGGAGUGAAAAAGAACCUGAAACCGUGUACGUACAAGCAGUGGGAGCACCUUCGGGUGUGACUGCGUACCUUUUGUAUAAUGGGUCAGCGACUUAUAUUCUGUAGCAAGGUUAACCGUAUAGGGGAGCCGCAGGGAAACCGAGUCUUAACUGGGCGUUAAGUUGCAGGGUAUAGACCCGAAACCCGGUGAUCUAGCCAUGGGCAGGUUGAAGGUUGGGUAACACUAACUGGAGGACCGAACCGACUAAUGUUGAAAAAUUAGCGGAUGACUUGUGGCUGGGGGUGAAAGGCCAAUCAAACCGGGAGAUAGCUGGUUCUCCCCGAAAGCUAUUUAGGUAGCGCCUCGUGAACUCAUCUUCGGGGGUAGAGCACUGUUUCGGCUAGGGGGUCAUCCCGACUUACCAACCCGAUGCAAACUACGAAUACCGAAGAAUGUUAUCACGGGAGACACACGGCGGGUGCUAACGUCCGUCGUGAAGAGGGAAACAACCCAGACCGCCAGCUAAGGUCCCAAAGUCAUGGUUAAGUGGGAAACGAUGUGGGAAGGCACAGACAGCCAGGAUGUUGGCUUAGAAGCAGCCAUCAUUUAAAGAAAGCGUAAUAGCUCACUGGUCGAGUCGGCCUGCGCGGAAGAUGUAACGGGGCUAAACCAUGCACCGAAGCUGCGGCAGCGACACUAUGUGUUGUUGGGUAGGGGAGCGUUCUGUAAGCCUGCGAAGGUGUGCUGUGAGGCAUGCUGGAGGUAUCAGAAGUGCGAAUGCUGACAUAAGUAACGAUAAAGCGGGUGAAAAGCCCGCUCGCCGGAAGACCAAGGGUUCCUGUCCAACGUUAAUCGGGGCAGGGUGAGUCGACCCCUAAGGCGAGGCCGAAAGGCGUAGUCGAUGGGAAACAGGUUAAUAUUCCUGUACUUGGUGUUACUGCGAAGGGGGGACGGAGAAGGCUAUGUUAGCCGGGCGACGGUUGUCCCGGUUUAAGCAUGUAGGCUGAUUGUCCAGGCAAAUCCGGAUAAUCAAGGCUGAGGUGUGAUGACGAGGCACUACGGUGCUGAAGUAACAAAUGCCCUGCUUCCAGGAAAAGCCUCUAAGCAUCAGGUAACAUUAAAUCGUACCCCAAACCGACACAGGUGGUCAGGUAGAGAAUACCAAGGCGCUUGAGAGAACUCGGGUGAAGGAACUAGGCAAAAUGGUGCCGUAACUUCGGGAGAAGGCACGCUGGUGUGUAGGUGAAGUCCCUGCGGAUGGAGCUGAGACCAGUCGAAGAUACCAGCUGGCUGCAACUGUUUAUUAAAAACACAGCACUGUGCAAACACGAAAGUGGACGUAUACGGUGUGACGCCUGCCCGGUGCCGGAAGGUUAAUUGAUGGGGUUAUCCGUAAGGAGAAGCUCUUGAUCGAAGCCCCGGUAAACGGCGGCCGUAACUAUAACGGUCCUAAGGUAGCGAAAUUCCUUGUCGGGUAAGUUCCGACCUGCACGAAUGGCGUAAUGAUGGCCAGGCUGUCUCCACCCGAGACUCAGUGAAAUUGAACUCGCUGUGAAGAUGCAGUGUACCCGCGGCAAGACGGAAAGACCCCGUGAACCUUUACUAUAGCUUGACACUGAACAUUGAGCCUUGAUGUGUAGGAUAGGUGGGAGGCUUUGAAGCGUGGACGCCAGUCUGCGUGGAGCCAACCUUGAAAUACCACCCUUUAAUGUUUGAUGUUCUAACGUUGGCCCCU